GCACUGCCGAGGAGUCUCACAACAGGACGAAACGACCGUCCGGUGC
rfam:Schistosoma rodhaini strain Burundi genome assembly, scaffold: SROB_scaffold0001627